rnacentral:lncRNA from 1 species
AAAUCUGACGCACUACUAAACUUUGAAGAAACUUAUAAUUACAUCAUCUAAUUUGGUAUCUUAAAUAAUGUGAGGAAAUUUAGGUAUUUCACAAUUUUUUUUUCAAUUUUAUAAUGUUUUUAGUUUAUGUAUUGCAGGCCGCAGCAGAGGGCCAUGACGGAGGUCAUCUCCUUCGUCCUCAUCCGAUCGGACUUCUCCUCCAUCCUCCGACAAGCGCCCGAUUUCCUUCGCCUUCUGAUCCGCUAUCUCCUCCGACCGGCGACUGAAAACAAUCUCGAGCUCGUAUUUGGAGUUUUCUCUUCGGCGACAAUUGGUUAGAAAACGGGUUGCGGUGACUUCGAUCACAUAGGCUAGAUCUAGAUCGAGAUUGUUAUGGUGAUUAGAUUGAAAUUAGCAUCGGUGAAUGAUAUUUGUUUUAGGAUUGAUGGAGAGUGCGAAUCGGUUGCAGUGGCAGUGUCAUACUCGUAAAACUUAAUUGGAGAAGAUGGCCAGGAAAUCAUCCUUCCUGAUCCCUAAACUUUCUAUAGGUUUUAAUACCCAAAAUAUUCAUAGAUAACAAACGUAAUCCAAUAAUUUUCAACUAAAGUCAGACGCGGCCCAAUGACUUUUCAUGUAAUAAAAAACUGGCCCGAAACAUUUAC